ACUCCUGCGGGAGGCAGCAGUGGGGAAUUUUGGACAAUGGGCGAAAGCCUGAUCCAGCAAUGCCGCGUGUGUGAAGAAGGCCUUCGGGUUGUAAAGCACUUUUGUCCGGAAAGAAAUCCUUGGCUCUAAUACAGUCGGGGGAUGACGGUACCGGAAGAAUAAGCACCGGCUAACUACGUGCCAGCAGCCGCGGUAAUACGUAGGGUGCGAGCGUUAAUCGGAAUUACUGGGCGUAAAGCGUGCGCAGGCGGUUUGCUAAGACCGAUGUGAAAUCCCCGGGCUCAACCUGGGAACUGCAUUGGUGACUGGCAGGCUAGAGUAUGGCAGAGGGGGGUAGAAUUCCACGUGUAGCAGUGAAAUGCGUAGAGAUGUGGAGGAAUACCGAUGGCGAAGGCAGCCCCCUGGGCCAAUACUGACGCUCAUGCACGAAAGCGUGGGGAGCAAACAGGAUUAGAAACCCUGGUAGUCCCAU
rnacentral:rRNA from 1 species